rnacentral:tRNA from 1 species
GUCCCCAUCGUCUAGCCCGGCCCAGGACACCACCCUUUCACGGUGAGAACCGGGGUUCGAAUCCCCGUGGGGACGCCA